rnacentral:rRNA from 1 species
UACAGAGGUCCCAAGCGUUGUUCGGAUUCAUUGGGCGUAAAGGGUGCGUAGGCGGCGCGGUAAGUCGGGUGUGAAAUCUCGGGGCUUAACUCCGAAACUGCAUUCGAUACUGCCGUGCUUGAGGACUGGAGAGGAGACUGGAAUUUACGGUGUAGCAGUGAAAUGCGUAGAUAUCGUAAGGAAGACCAGUGGCGAAGGCGGGUCUCUGGACAGUUCCUGACACUGAGGCACGAAGGCCAGGGGAGCAAACGGG